UCAUUCCUUUUCUUCCUUUCUGUUUUUCCCAGGUUCCUUCCCAUCUGGAUAUUUUUCCAUGGGAUAACUUUUAUUUCAGGGUCCUGAGGUCUUUGGAAGGAAAAGAACAGGAGAAGGGAGAAGAGGAAAAGAAGAAAGAAAGGGUGGCAGUGAAUAGUAUAUAUCUAAUUGAAUCUAGAUUAGAGUGGUUUGUGGAAAUUUAGAGCCAAACAUUGAAUACAAUCAGAGAAACAUUUGUAUCCGGCCUCCUUCAUUCUCACAAUCCCAGAGAGCCAUUCUGUGAACAACUGUCCAGGUGAAAGAAAUGAAGCCUUACAACCUGAGAGUUCAAAAGGUCAUUAUGGGGGCAGGUAGGUGGCUCAAUGGAUAGAGAGCCAGGCCUGGAGAUGGAAGGUCCUGGCUCCAAAUCUGGCCUCAGAUAUGUCCUAGUUCUGUGACUUUGGGCAAGUCACUUAAUCCAAACUGGCUAGCCCUUACAGCUCUUUUGCCUUUGAGCUAACACUUACUAGUGCUUCUAAGAGAGAUGAGGGUCUAAAAAAUUUUUUAUAAAGACAUCCAUUUUCCUGGCAUUCCAGAACCUGGGUUCCAGGCUAGGUGUUGCCACUAGCCCAGUCCUGAUGCCCCAUGGAACAAGGAGGUUUUAGAUCGAUGCCAAUAUAAUCUGAAACAAGGCUUCAUCCAGAAUCAAUGCUAUCUUUGGAUGUGAACUUAAUGAGACCAAAGCUACAUAGAAACUUAGUGAAAUUUUGAGCCUACUCCUCCUGAGACCAAGGUGGUAUAGGGAAGAGUAUACUUUGGAGAACUGGGGAAAAUAAAUUUAUAAAUUUGUUCCUUCAAUAUAUUUGAAGUAAUUUUUUUUUUGUAAAAGCUAUCCUAGACAAGUCAUUUAACUAACUUUUUUGCCUCAAUUUCCUCAACUAUAAAAUGGGAGUCAUAAUGGUAUAUAAGAUAGGUAUAUGUAGCAGGAUUGAUCAAAUGAAAUAAUUCUUGGCAAAUCUCCAAUACAUAGUAAGCAUCAUAUAAAUGCUUUCCCCAAUCCCUUUCCACAUCAGGAACACCUAUCCAAAAUAAAUGAACCAAUUCAUUAACCCUUAGACUAAUCCAACUGAAUGUAAUGAAUCAACAGUUAUUAAAUGCCUACUAGAUGCCAAAUACUGUGCUAAGACUACAAAUACAAAAGAGGAUUCCCUGGCCUCAAAGAACUUAAAUUUUAUCGUCAUAAUAACAAGAGGAAGCAUGAGUACUAGGGAGAAAGUUGGCCCUAGAGUCAGGACCACCUGGGUUCAGGUUCAGUCUCUGACACACAUGAUUGAUGUGUAUAACCCUGGAGAAGUUUACUUUACCUAUCAGUAUUAUACAACUGUUUAAACCUAUAAUUUUACUCCUAACUUGGUAGUGGAAUUUCUUCAGUGGGUUGUCCCUGCACCAAUAAUAGGUCCGGUCUAUCCCUCAUUUGGGCAUUAUGAUUUCUUCAUUCAUUUCCUAUUGUUUUUUCACAUGGGUAAGUAAGCCAAUCUCUUCAAAAUGGUCAUGGAUCUCUUGAUGAAACUCUACAACUUUCGUACCUCAAACAAUUGGUAUGUCCUCUGAAGAUAGGACUCUCUGGAGAAUGUCAAUUAAAUUUUUUUUCAUAAGACAUCCUCUAAGAGAGUGGUAGACAUUAUCAGAGAGCAAUGUUUUAUUUCUUAUUUAAUAUUCAUAGUCAAAGAACAUUGACCAAAAUUAUCUCUUCAUAUUUCUCAAAGAACCUUGUCUUAUUAUGUGCAUGAAAAAUACCUGCAUUUUGCUCUACCAAGUCAAUUUAAAAAAAA